rnacentral:misc_RNA from 1 species
GAUGAAGAACGUAGCGAAAUGCGAUAAGUAAUGUGAAUUGCAGAAUUCAGUGAAUCAUCGAAUCUUUGAACGCACAUUGCGCCCGUUAGCAUUCUAGCGGGCAUGCCUGUCCGAGCGUCAUUUCAACCCUCAGGGUCCCCGUUCCGGCGGGGAACCUGGUGUUGGGGAUCGGCCCGCCCCGUGCGGCGCCGUCCCCCAAAUUCAGUGGCGGUCUCGCUGCAGCCUCCCCUGCGUAGUAGUUACAACCUCGCAUCGGAGCUCAGCGCGGCCACGCCGUAAAACCCCCGACUUUCUGAACGUUGACCUCGGAUCAGGUAGGAAUACCCGCUGAACUUAAGCAUAUAAUAAGCGGAGGA